UACGUAGGGGGCAAGCGUUGUCCGGAAUCAUUGGGCGUAAAGAGCGCGUAGGCGGUCCGGUAAGUCCGCUCUGAAAGUCCGGGGCUCAACCCCGGGAGGCGGGCGGAUACUGUCGGGCUGGAGUCCGGAAGAGGCGAGUGGAAUUCCUGGUGUAGCGGUGAAAUGCGCAGAUAUCAGGAGGAACACCAAUGGCGAAGGCAGCUCGCUGGGACGGUACUGACGCUGAGGCGCGAAAGCGUGGGGAGCAAACAGG
rnacentral:rRNA from 1 species